GAAUUAUUAUCUAUAGCCGAGAAUAUCUCCAUUUGGAGCAUUGUUUACGGACCGAAUUAACUACAAUAUUACUUGU